CAUGCCCGAAAUUUUGUUUUCGAUUAUGGCAACCUGAAGAGUCUUUUCGGAACUCCCACCGAGAUGUGAUCCCAAGCAUCAUGCCAUGAAAAUUUGCGAACAGUCAAUCCUCGAUAGCGGUGAGUGGGACACACGGGACACGUGGCAAGCACCGGUUGGACUAAAGAUGCCCGCCAUCAUAAUUGUGCUGAUAUCCGCUGCCUAUUUAAACCCCCUACCCUUCCCUUGGGGCUUUACUCCACC
rnacentral:lncRNA from 1 species